CUUGUGCAGUCACCUGUGCCUUGCCCCCUCCCACUCUGAAGCUUUUGCUGAAGCUCCCUUAGUUCAGGCCUUCUUCUCAUUUGCAGUCAUUUACCUAUAAGAGUCGGCCAGCAAAGAAGAGAGGUUUUCAAGGACUCUACAGCCAAGGAAGAGUAGGUGGAGAGGUUGGAUGGAAGAGAUGAAAAAGCCAGAGGAGGCAGUAAGGUACAAUGGGGUGUGCCCACAGCUUUGCAAGUACUGCAGUGGCUAACUGCAAUUUACAGGAAGAGCCUUUAAGAAGCAAGAAAGGAAGGAAAACAUUACAGGACUUUCUGCUGCCCUCCUCAGAGAGUGUAUGAACAUAUACUGAAGCAUCCAACAACUGCAUGGAAUAUGUGAGAAAAUAUAUCUUCAAUGAAGUCCCAAAGUCCUGUCUCAUAUUUCUUCCCUGGCAUGGAUCUGAAG